UACAGAGGGGGCAAGCGUUAUUCGGAAUUAUUGGGCGUAAAGGGCGCGUAGGCGGCUUGGCAAGUGGAAGGUGAAAUCCCUCGGCUUAACCGAGGAACUGCCCUCCAAACUGCUUGCUUGAGGCCGGGAGAGGCGAGUGGAAUUCCCAGUGUAGCGGUGAAAUGCGUAGAUAUUGGGAGGAACACCAGUGGCGAAGGCGGCUCGCUGGACCGGUUCUGACGCUGAGGCGCGAAAGCGUGGGGGAGCAAACGGGG
rnacentral:rRNA from 1 species